UACGUAGGCAGCAAGCGUUGUUCGGAGUUACUGGGCGUAAAGGGUGUGUAGGCGGUUCUUUAAGUUUGCUGUGAAAUCUCCCGGCUUAACCGGGAGGGUGCGGUGAAUACUGAGGGACUAGAGUACGGGAGAGGAAAGUGGAAUUCCUGGUGUAGCGGUGAAAUGCGUAGAUAUCAGGAGGAACACCGGUGGUGUAGACGGCUUUCUGGACCGUAACUGACGCUGAGACACGAAAGCGUGGGUAGCAAACCGG
rnacentral:rRNA from 1 species